CCAGCACAGGGACAGUCUUAAUCACCGUAAUACCAGGGUGGCCACCAUCACACGUCCCACGACAACAGGGCCCUCAUUGCACAUCACCAAGUGACCCAGCUCCAGAAUGCCCUCCUGUAGUGGCGUUCUCAGGGCUGCGACUCUCUUAGCUUAAGAUCCCCCCAAAGUAGAACCCGAUGCCAAGGCUUGUGUACAGGGAGUUUAUUUUGGAAGUCAUUCUAGGGACCAGAAAUGAGGGACGAACAGGAGUGGGAAACAAGAGAGAGCAGAAGAGCCAAGAUAACGGUGCAUUAUUAGGUCACUGCCGUGGGUGGCUGGGGCUCAGCCCUGCCAGGACCUUCCAAGCAGUGCACAGAGGGACCUUAUGGGUCAGAUGACGGCCUGGCAGAAGCAUUCACCUGGUGGCGCCUGUGCACCCCAGAUUGAGGCUGGCUCAGUGGAAGCAACUUCCCUCCACAAGUCCUCCGGCUGAGCCCGCUUCUGCCAACCUUGUGUUGGGGCGCUGCGGAAGCCCCUGGGCAGAAAAUGAAAACUGCCUCAUGCUGACAGGAGGCGAGGUGCUGGUGGUGCAAAGGGAGCUGAAGCCCGCCCGGAACUGCUUGCCACAGCAUGGCUGGAAAUAGAGUUGUAGCCGUGCACGCGGCAGGCGGCGUUCAGAAGGAAUCUGGUGCAUUCUCUCGUAGUUAUGAAAACAGGCUCUGGAGCCAGGCUGUCUUGAUUCCAAUCCUUCUGCUGUGCUUCCUUUCCUUCCACUUACAGAAGGGGGAAUACUAAGAAGAAAGUACUUUAUAGGGUUGUUAUGAAGUAAAUGAGAAAAUUCAUGCAAGAUGCUUGUAAUAGUGCCUGGCACAUAAUAAAUACUCAAUUAAGAGGGGCUUCUAAUAUCCCCAUUUUACAGUUGAGGAAACUAAGAUACAUAUUUUUUGAGGGAUGAGGAGAAAGGGGACAAAGAAAGGGAGGGAAGGAUUUUGAGUAGAUCCCGCUCAAACCUCCAGAGAAGCGGAGGCCCUGGCUCUCUCAGCGUUUCUAUGUCCUCUUCCCCUAUCACAGGAGAGGCCUAAGGAUGGGCAGCAAAGGCUUUCUUCCCCAAACAGGCAUUCAAGCUUCCUCUGCUCCAGCUACAGGGUCCGUGGGUUCCUUGUGAUGUCACAGCUGGUUGCUAUGGAGACCAGGUUGCUGUGAAUGUCAGUCCGAGGCCCAUUAGGAGCACAGUGAACAGCAGCCCAGGCGAGCCCAGGGAGGCAAGAAAAUGAGGCUCCCCGUGAGGUCUAAUAAACACCUCUCGCCACACCCCAAACACAUAGACACGCAAUAGAGCCCAUAGGUCCUGAGUGAGUCCCCCUGGCCCACCCCAUUCAGCUGAGAUCUGACAACAUAUGUUUGGGGACAAACAGCCCCAGCAGCCAGGAGCAGGCCACAUCAUACAUAGUCAGCAUCAGCCAUGGUCCCCUCCCACUCUCCUGGGGGAAAAAGGUGCUUUACAGGCAGCGUGGCAUCCGAGCAUCCCCAUGGCGAUGCUGAGGUCAGACCUCACUGUGGUGAUCUCACGCUGGGGCCACCGGACUCAGGCCAGGCUGGGAGUAGGCUGUCUAGCCAUUGCUGGCUGUCAUUGUCACCAAGGGAAGGGGAGAAGCUGUGAAGAGUUGCUCUGGAAAAAACAAAUCUGCUCAUAGGACAAUGGGUCUGGGUGAACCUAUCCCGGCCCUCUUGGCUGCUGGGCCAGGGCCUGGUUUUUCACAGGGCACCAUUGAGACCACAGGAAGUGGCUUCCUGCCUCUGAAGACAGCACACAACUGCCCUAGAAAGCGCUCUUGUCACCCCUGCUGUGAGUCCCCCAGUGGGUUGCUUUGAGAGCCUUUCCUUUUACUGUGUAUGGGGAAAAUCUUCUGGGGGGAUUGGCAGAGGUGGGGGGAAGCACCCUAUGCCCUUCUCUGGAUCGCAGGGUAUCCUCCCUCCAUGCUCUGGCGAGGCACUGACCACCCCCUUCCCCAGGGCUGAGCCAGACUCCAGGCAGCCUCCAGCCACCCGUGCCUCCGGUUCACCCCUGCCUGCCUGCCCGCCUGCUGCUGUCCUCAGCCAAGCCCUUCUGCAUUCCCCGGCUCGAGGCCCCACUGUACUACCUGCCUAGUUGGGACACUUUUGCAGGAGGGACUGUCGCCUUUCUUUUGCUGGACUUUUAUUUUUUUGAGACAGAGUCUUGCUCUGUUGCCCAGGCUGGAGUGCAAUUGCACAAUCUCGGCUCAUUGCAAGCUCCGCCUCCCAGGUUCAAGUGAUUCUCCUGCCUCAGCCUCCCUAGUUGCUAAGACUACAGGGUAGAGAAUCAGAGGCUUGUAGAUGUCUUUGCCACUUCCACGGGAUCUCUGGGAGCUGGAAACUGAGCUUUAAGAAAUAACUAUAGUGCAAAGGUGAGUAUAAAUAUAAUCAGGUUUUCAUCAUGUUCUUCCUGCAAAAUUCUCUUGGAAAUGACAACCAACCUCCAUUCUAUUGCAGGGAACUAAGGGAAAAGGGUUCAGCCCAAAGCAGAAGGGACUGUGAUGAUCACAGUGACCUCCUGAGGCCAGCAUGGUGGUAGCAGCCAGAGACAGCAGCUGAGUGAGACCCUAAGGGAGGGAUGAGCCAGGCAGUGUGUGGUUGGAGUUCUCCCUACACAUCUCGUUUUCCUCACCUCCAGAUCACACACAUGCACACACACAUAUGCACCCACACACCCCUUACACACUCCGGCCCGAAGGUUUCUGCAGGACUCCUUCCUGGCACUCUCUCCAGUGCUGCCAGCGUCGCACCACACUGCAAGGCUUUGCAAACUUUCCUUCCAAAGUGAAGGAGACCCUCUGGCCAUCUGAGGCUCGGUCUGAAGCAACAGCCUCAGAGCGCAAUCUCAGGCAUGCAGGAAGUGCAGGAAGGCCACGUGCCACAUACGUUAUCUCACUUAAUCUCAUUAGCAGGAAAUGUCUUUAAAGUCUUAUGUUGGUGCUUAAAAAUUCCUGAGCAGUUUAGCCCUUAAUAAAGCCAGGCUUUUUAAAAUUUGAAAUGAGGUUGAGAAAACUGUGGUCAUCGGAAUUCCCUUCAGAGACAACACUUAGCUGAGUCUCUUGGUUGUAGGGAGGAGGCUGAUGGCGGCAGAGGGGGCAGUGGGGAUGGCAGAGAGUGGGGGGAGCAUGCCAAGGGGACAUUUAAGUGAGAAAAGGUGAUACUAAAUCGCUCCAUAUUAUGUGGAGUGAGGAGGAAAGAGGGUAUGUUUGGGGGUGGGGAGAGUGUGUGUGUAUGUGAGAGAGAAUGUGUGUGUGUGUAUGAGAGUGUGUGUGUAUGUGAGAGAAUGUGUGCGUGUGAGAGUGUGUGAGACAGAGACAGUGUGUGUGUAUGUGAGAGAGAAUGUGUGUGUGUGAGUGUGUGUGAGACAGAGACAGUGUGUGUGUAUGUGAGGGAGAAUGUGUGUGUGACUGUGGGUAUGAAUGAGAGAAUGUGUGUGUGACUGUGUGUGUGAGAAUGUGUGUGAGAAAAUGUGUGUGAGAGAGUGUGUGAGUGUGUAAGUGAGAGAGAGAAUGUGUGUGUGUGACAGUGUGUGUGUAUGUGAGUGUGUGUGAGAGUGUGUGUGUAUGUGAGAGAGAAUGUGUGUGUGAGAGAGUAUGUGUAUGUGUGUGAGAAAGUGUGUGAGUGUGCAUGCAUGUGUGUGUAGGGUGUGCAAGAUCGAGCAGAGAGAUUGAAGCAAGUGAGGCUGGGAGCUGCUUCAAGGAGGAAGAGAGGGAAAGAAAGAGAAAGGCUUGCCUGUCAGAGGAGGAGCUAGAGAAGAAAAUGUGAGCUGGAGUUCAUGCAGGGGAAGGGAGAUGGGCUGUGUGGUGUGCUCCUCUUAGCAGAGGGCUUGAAAAUCUCCAGCAGGACUCGGCCUGUGUCCCCUGGACUUUGGUAUCCUUGGCAGUGCCUUGGACCUCACUGGGUACUGGAACCCACUGGUCUGUCUUUCCCACUAGACUGUGAUUGUCUCAGGGGUAGGCAAUGUGUGGCUUCCUCCCUGAGCCUCAGGCCUAGCCCAGUGCCAGGACUCAUCAAUAUUGUUUGAACUGGCUGAGCUCCAAGCAGGUGGGUUUGGAGGUUUUCACUCUUUGUUUGUUUUCUAGGUUGGUCUUAUUUAACAAGGCAGGCAGCCUGGGGUCAGACCCAAAUUCUUGCCUGCCCAGUUUCAGUCCUGCCUGGAGAAUGAGAUGGGCCUGACUCCCUCAGGCUGGAGCCCAGAUGAGUUCCUGGGUGCAACAGAGGAGGCAGUUGGAGCAAUGGGGACUGCCCAGUGGGAGGGAGGCGGAGCCAGUCUUAUUGUUGAGAGGGCAGAGGGCAGAAGGGACUCCUCUUGGCAGUUGGUCCAGCUCUGGGCUACCUUGUCCAUCCUGAGCCCUAGGAAAGAAAACAAAAGGAGCCUUGCAGUGCAGGCCUGUGUGGUCCAGAAAAAGAAAGGUAAAAUCUCCCAUGGCUGCUGCUUUCGGUCCGACAGGCAUCAGGCUGAGCUACUCGGGCUGCUUUUCCCCUCUGGGUGAGGAUGCACCAACACGAACAUACAGAGCGGCUGCUUCUACACAAAGGGACCCCAGGAGAGCAGGAGAGGCAUUUGUGGGACGUCACGGGGAACUUGUUGUCCACCUGGAAGGGGCUGCCAAGUCAGACUCUUCUUUGGGGAGAGGAGACAGGUAGCGCCCCUGUGGGGUGCCAGGGUUUGGCCAUCACUCAACGACGGCCGGGCCGGUGCCUUAAGGAGCUCGGGGAAGGAGAACACACCUGCGCAGCAUCAGCCCAGUUCUAGUGUGAGUCAUCACCAAGUAGCUGAUGGCAGCUGUGGAACAAGAGCAGGUACAG
rnacentral:lncRNA from 1 species